AAUCUUCCGCAAUGGACGAAAGUCUGACGGAGCAACGCCGCGUGAGUGAAGAAGGUUUUCCGAUCGUAAAACUCUGUUAUCAGGGAAGAACAAGUACCGUUUAACUGACGGUACCUUGACGGUACCUGACCAGAAAGCCACGGCUAACUACGUGGCAGCAGCCGCGGUACUACGUAGGUGGCAAGCGUUGUCCGGAAUUAUUGGGCGUAAAGCGCGCGCAGGCGGUCUCUUAAGUCUGAUGUGAAAUCUCGCGGCUCAACCGUGAGCGGGCAUUGGAAACUGGGGGACUUGAGUGCAGAAGAGAAGAGCGGAAUUCCACGUGUAGCGGUGAAAUGCGUAGAGAUGUGGAGGAAUACCAGUGGCGAAGGCGGCUCUUUGGUCUGUAACUGACGCUGAGGCGCGAAAGCGUGGGGAGCGAAC
rnacentral:rRNA from 1 species